AGUAUGGAAAGCUGUUUGAUUUUGUCAAUGCAAAAAAGCUCAACAUCAAGAACAGAGGGCUGAAAGAGGUAUCUGUGGGAAGGAAGGAUGUGCCUCUCCUGUUCUUUUUGUAGAGGAGAAAGGAGCAGAGACUUGGCUUCUUUUUCAUUCUUUCUUUUCUUCUUACCCUUAUAGAAAAAAGAGGUGCGUGUGGCUCCUUCCCCUUCCUGAGCAGGUUCUCUCUGCAUGGCCUUAGAUCAGUCUAUGCAGCCUCUUAGGAGCCCCUGUGGGGCCAGGAAAGGGAGGGGCUUGGAUUAACUCCCUCUAGUAGGCCCUGCAUGUUGGCUGUGUGGACACUCCCGCUCACGCUCUCCUGGGAGCUGCUGUUCUGAUUUCACAGGCGUGGGGAAGUGCUUUGAGUGCUCAGAAGUGCUGGCUUGAACAUGGUGGCUGACACUCACUUCUUCCCUCGCUAGGGCAUUAACCCAGGUUAUGAUGAUUACGCUGACUCUGAUGAAGACCAGCAUGAUGCCUAUUUGGAGAGGAUGAAGGAGGAGGGCAAGAUCCGGGAGGAGAAUGCCAAUGACAGCAGUGACGACUCAGGAGAAGAAACUGAUGAGUCCUUCAAUCCUGGUGAAGAAGAAGAAGAUGUGGCAGAGGAGUUUGAUAGCAAUGCCUCUGCCAGCUCCUCCAGUAAUGAGGGCGACAGCGACCGAGAAGAGAAGAAGCGGAAACAGCUCAAAAGAGCCAAGAUGGCCAAGGAUCGGAAGAGCCGCAAGAAGUCUUCAGAGGUAUUAGGAGCGAGAAUGUGUGUGCUUCCGUUUUCUACUUUCUUUCUCCUGUUCACUACCAGUAGAUACUGUUGACGGUGUUGCUUUUGUAGGCUGGUUAUGACUUUAGUAGGUAUUUUCUAAGUUUUUCCUUUUGGUUCUGAGAUACUUUGUUGAGGAUCUGGGGUGGGUUUUUUUUUGGUUGUUGUUUUGUUUUUUAUUUUUGUGUUUUAUUUGUGUUGUAUUUUAUUUUUUUGUUCAUUUGACUAAUUUUAAUAUUUUUGGACAAUUUUAUACAUAUAUUUAGUGUACUAUGAUUUCCCUCCUUCCUGCUCUCUCAGCUCUAUAAUUAGUAUCUCUUUUACUUCUUUCUUUCCUGGUGGGUUUAGUAAGGAUUGCUUGUGUAAUGGGUAAACAUGGAAAGAGGGUUAGUUGCUGGAGCAUAAGUAAUUUACCAGUGGCUACAGCACUGAAGAAAGUGAUUCGUGUUCUCCUUGCAAUUGUUAUCUACACGUAGCUCAUUUAGAGGGAGCGAGUCCUCACGGAUGCCUUUGCCACGUCUGGUAGAGUAUCAGUGGGCCAAUGCCCUUAGUGCUUACAGUCACAGCAACCAUGCUGUGUCUGGGGACACUGCUUUAUAGCACUGCUCUCCUUUCUCUGGCUCUUGCCAUCUGCCUGCUCCCUUUUUUAGCCAAGUUUCCUUGGCCUUAGUGACACA
rnacentral:lncRNA from 1 species